rnacentral:sRNA from 1 species
UUAAGAGUCGUUCAAUGCCAUUACCUGGACUUUCCAGAUAUGGGAAUAGCGAUGUUGA